GGAAAUGGAGAGGCGUGCGGACUAUCAGGUAGUUGGUAGGGUAAUUGCCUACCAAGCCUAUGACGGUUAGCCGAUCUUAAACGGAUGUUCGGCCAGAGGAGCACUGAGACACGGGCUCCACGCCUACGGGCGGCAGCAAUCGGGAAUAAUUGGCAAUGGGCGAAAGCCUGACCAUGCGACACCGCGUGCGGGAAGAAGCUCUAAACGAGCGUAAACCGCUGUGGUAGGGGAUGAAACCUCGGCUUAAGCCGGGAUUGACCGUACCCUACUAGAAAGAGGCCGCUAACUUCGUGCCAGCAGCGGCGGUAAUACGGGGGCCUCAAGCGUUAUCCGAUGUAACUUGGCGUAAAGCGUGUGUAGGCGGUUUGUUAAGUCACUUUUCAAAUCCCCCGAUCCAAUCGGGGAAAGGGGAGUGAUACUGGCAGACUUGAGUUUUUUUUAGGGAAAUCGGAAUUUACGGAGGAGUAGUGAAAUGCGUUGAUACCGUAAAGAACACCAAUGGCGAAGGCAGAUUUCUGGAAAAUAACUGACGCUCAGACACGAAAGCUGGGGGAGCGAACCGGAUUAGAGACCCGGGUAGUCCCAGCCCUAAACGAUGCUCGCUGGUUGCAUUGUCCUCCGAUUCGGAGGAUGGUGUGGCGAAGCUAACGCGUUAAGCGAGCCGCCUGGGAAGUACGACCGCAAGGUUGAAACUCAAAGGAAUUGGCGGGGAGACACACAACUAGUGGAUCAUGUGGUUUAAUUCGAUACAAAACGAAGAACCUCACCAGGGCUUGACGUCCAGAUGACGAUUUUACGAAAGUAAGAUCUUCUUAAUUUUAAGACAACUGGACAGCUGUUGCAUGGCUGUCGUCAGUUCGUUCCGUGAGGAGUGCCCUUAAGUGGGACAACGAACGCAACCUUCGUCCCGAGUUAUAUGUAUCUCGGGAGACUGCCUCGCUUAUCUGCGGGGAGGAAGGAGAGGCAGACGUCAAGUCAGCAUGACGCUUAUGCUCUGGGCUACACACAUGAUACAAUGAACCUUAACAAAGGGUAGCAAACCGGUAACGGCAAGCAAAUCCCAAAAACAGGUUCUCAGUGGGGAUUGAGGUCUGAAACUCGACCUCAUGAACGCGGAAUUAGUAGUAAUCGUCGGUCAGCUAUACGACGGUGAAUACGUUCUUGUCUCUUGCACACACUGCCCGUCAAGCCAACAAAGUUGGGGGUACCUGAACCCCGAUUUAAUCGGGGGAGGGUAAAAUCAGCGAUGGGGGCUAAGUCGUAACAAGGUA
rnacentral:rRNA from 1 species